UACGUAGGGGGCAAGCGUUGUCCGGAAUCAUUGGGCGUAAAGCGCGUGUAGGCGGCCCGGUAAGUCCGCUGUGAAAGUCCAGGGCUCAACCCUGGAAUGCCGGUGGAUACUGUCGGGCUCGAGUCCGGAAGAGGCGAGUGGAAUUCCUGGUGUAGCGGUGAAGUGCGCAGAUAUCAGGAGGAACACCAAUGGCGAAGGCAGCUCGCUGGGACGGUACUGACGCUGAGACGCGAAAGCGUGGGGAGCAAACAGG
rnacentral:rRNA from 1 species